UUUUCACCUUCCCUGGCAGAAAGUUUUUCAGCAUUUUAGGACUACUUUUGAAAGAACACUUGGCAGGUGUUAUGAAUGGUUGAUAGUUCUGACUGUUACAUCACCUCACCUUGGAAAGCACAGAGGAGAAAGCUGUUUGCAGGAACUCAGGCAAGCAUUCAUCUCUCUGAGCCUCAACUACCAUCCAUGAAGAAGAGGUAUUACCUAACCCAUGAAUUCCAA